AUUGAACGCUGGCGGCAGGCCUAACACAUGCAAGUCGAACGAGUGGCGGACGGGUGAGUAAUCUAUCGGAACGUGCCCAGUAGCGGGGGAUAACUACUCGAAACAGUGGCUAAUACCGCAUACUAUUGGAGCGGCCGAUAUCGGAUUAGCUAGUUGGUGGGGUAACGGCUCACCAAGGCAACGAUCCGUAGCUGGUCUGAGAGGACGACCAGCCACACUGGGACUGAGACACGGCCCAGACUACUACGGGAGGCAGCAGUGGGGAAUUUUGGACAAUGGGGGAAAACCUGAUCCAGCCAUCGCGGGUGUAUGAGAAGGCCUUCGGGUUGUAAAGUACUUUUGGCAGAGAAGCGGUAUCGGCAGAAUAAGCACCGGCUAACUACGUGCCAGCAGCCGCGGUAAUAC
rnacentral:rRNA from 1 species